rnacentral:lncRNA from 1 species
AGGAAAAGGUGUUAGGCAUCCCUCGGUCCCGUGGUUCGAUCGUGAUCACUUCGUUGCGCUAUAUCAGCUAAUAUAACACUAUAAAAUACAUAAACCAACAAAACAGACAACAAGAAACAAACAAACAAAACUCUGAAAAAUAGUGUUCAGUCCAAUUUAGUACAAACCAAAAUAAGAAAAAUGCUGAAAUGAAAACCGAAACUAUUCUAACUACCUUAACUAUGCUUUACCCAAUGUCGUGGGCCUUGAUCACGAUUGAUAUUUUGAAUAUAGAGUGUUGUGGGUCAUUCUCUAGUGAAUAUAUACAUAUUACCUCGGGGCAUCUCCCGUUGAAUAAAUAUGUUUGAUAAGAAAAUGCAAUAUAAAUAGAAAAAUCAUUCAACAAGCAUUCACACAUUCGAUAAUUUAGAAUCCUAAGGCUUGCCUACAAAAAACUUAAGAUUUACCUAUCAAUUCUUGUCCUAAAUAUGAUACUAUAUCAUUCAACAAAAUCAACAUUUAUUACGAACUAAAAAACCAUCAAUGGAUAAAACUAACCAAUAUUCAUCUUUAUCAAUUUUUAAUUCCUGCUCCAAAUUUAUUUUAACACAAACCCCCUAGGUGGAAUUAGUUAUCCAAACCCAUUAAGUUUGUCCCAUCAAGAUCAAUUAUUCACAACAAUCAAGAACCAAGAAAAAAUCAUUCAACCAAUAGAACCAAGACAUCAAAACACAUCCACAAUCAUAUAAAAUUAAGGCAAUAGAGUUGAAAAUUGAAACAUACAGAAAGCUUUCGGAAUUAAAAAUUUCUCGAUAAAAGGUAGAAUCCUCUUCGAUAAACUUGACUCAAACCUCAACCCAAACCCAAAUGAACAAUUUUGAUCCCGAACUCCGUUUCAAUCAAACAAAGUUGUUUGGUCACUAGUGGAACAUUUGGUCUCCAUCAAUGAUGUCUUCCGAUGACGGUUCGACUAGUUCUUGGUGGUGGUGGGUUUUGGAUUACUUUUUUGGUGGGUAUGAUGCCGGGGGUUGUUGUUUUCAUAUCGUUAGAGCUCCGAUGAGCUCAGAAGGAAUAAAAAAUAAAGAACACAUCAAAUUUCAGGUGACGGUGAUUUUUUUUGGUGAGAAAUUACCAAAACAGUCAGCCUUCGCCUGUUUUCUCGCUCUCUAUUCUUUCUCCCCUGGUCUCUCUUUCUCGCAAUCCCUUCUUGGAUCUCUCGUUGUUGCUCGUUUCUUUCUUUUUCCCAUUUUGCCCUCUAUUUCUCUCUAUUCUCUCUCGCGAACUCUCUCUUAAUUCUUCACUAUUUUCCCUCUAUUCUCCACUAUUUUCUUACUCUUUUCUUCACUAUGUGUGUAUGUAUUUUCUGGGUGUGUUGUUCUCCAUGUCUAUAUCUGUGUAUCAAUGAAAAUCCUCCUAUAUGUGUAAUUCUCCUUGGUCUUGGGUGUAUGAAUAUUGUGUGUGAAAAUAGAGAGUGUGUGUCAAUGAAAAACUCCAAGCUUUAUUUUGUAUAGUGUCAUCUGUUAUAUGGAGAUAUAUGAGUAUAUGUGUGUGUAAACAUUUGUAAGGUGAGACUAUGAGGGGUACAUGGGAUGAGGUAGGGGGUAUGUGAGGUAGGGGGUUAGGGUGGUUAGGAUGAGGUAGGUGUGCACAUUUAAAUAGGUAAAGUGGUUAUAUUUUUUAUUUUGUGUUUUAAUGGGGAAGUAUCAAAGGGAGUGGGAUGUGUGGUAUAGGUGAAAGGGAAUGAGAUAAAUAGACGUAUAAAAAGAGUCAAAUUUAUGUGUCUACAACCACUGCUAUAAUUCACUCAUUUUCAUCCAUUGUUGACCAUUCUCCAUUAAUUAUUCCCUCCAUUAUUUCCUAUAAAGCUUUCAAAUUAGUCCACUUUUCUUUUCGAUACUCUAGCUCAAUUAGCUCCAUUCCAACACUCCAGAUCUCUUAUACAACUAUAAUCAACUCCAUUGUUUUGUUUGUCCUUGAAAAAGAAACCAAGUUAGAUAUUUAUAUCACUGUACGGAGAUUUCUUCAUUACUCAACAGUCUAGGCAGUCUAUCAAUGAUAAAUCAAUAAGUUAGUCUCAUAUGGAUUAUCGUUUAUGUCUACAAUGUCUAUUACAGAAAUUAUUAUGUUUGGUGUUGACCUCAUGGGUCAUUGUUAGUUGAUCCUAAAUGUUGGAACUGGA